AGUGGUCUGAAUUAGUUUCCCAUUCUGCCUUAUCAAACCUGAGCGAGGCCAAAUACAACAAGAGCGCCAGGCUUCCACUGGCCAAAGACGUUCAGAAGCUACAGUUACAUCUUGGUCAGCAAGUGGAAUUGGCUAAGGAGAAACUAGCCGAUAAUCCAACAGCAGGCACGUAUGCGGCACUAGCAAAGGUGACCCUCUGUCAAGUAAUUUUGUUUAAUAGGAGGAGGGAAGGUGAAGUGGCGCGAAUGACUGUAAAAAAUUUUGAAGAUCGUGACAUGUCACAACUUAACGAUGACAUAAGCACUGGGCUUACAGAAGUUGAGAGGAGACUUUGCAAACAAUUCGCCAGAGUGGAAUUGAGGGGGAAAAAAGGACGAAAGGUUGCGGUGAUCCUGACUCCUGACAUGACUGCUAACCUGUCACUCCUCAUUAGUAAGAGGAAAGAGUGUGGAGUUACUGAAGACAACGAUUACCUCUUCGCUGUUCCUUGUAGUCUUGGGCACUACAGAGGGCAGUUUGGUCAAUUUGCAGAUGCUUGUGGAGCCGAAGAUCCUCAAAACCUCAGAUCAACUAACCUUCGCAAACAAAUCGCCACAAUAAGCCAAGUCAUGAACUUGAAAGAUAAUGAACUGGAUCAGCUGGCCGAUUUUCUCGGCCAUGACAUUAGGGUGCAUAGGGAGUACUAUCGACUGCCCCAAUCAACAAUUCAGCUGGCUAAGAUCUCAAAACUGCUUAUGGCUAUGGAGAAGGGAAGUGUGAAGGAUAUCCAAGGAAAAUCUCUAGAUGAAAUCGGUGAUGACACAGAAGAUAUGGAUACAGGAUCACCGCAACUCCCUGAUGUUUCCACUCUGCAAGACAAUGAAGAAAUGUUGGCUUCUGGCACUUUGCCUCACCUCUCCGAGACCGCAG